GAUGAACGCUGGCGGCGUGCCUAAUACAUGCAAGUCGAGCGAACAGAUAAGGAUCUUGCUCCUUUGACGUUAGCGGCGGACGGGUGAGUAACACGUGGAUAACCGACCUAUAAGACUGGGAUAACUUCGGGAAACCGGAGCUAAUACCGGAUAACAUAUUGAACCGCAUGGUUCAAUAGUGAACGGCGGCUUUGCUGUCACUUAUAGAUGGAUCCGCGCCGUAUUAGCUAGUUGGUAAGGUAACGGCCUACCAAGGCAACGAUACGUAGCCGACCUGAGAGGAUGAUAAGUCACACUGGAACUGAGACACGGUCCAGACUCCUACGGGAGGCAGCAGUGGGGAAUAUUUGAAAAUGGGCGAAAGCCUGAUCCAGCCAUGCCGCGUGUGUGAAGAAGGUCUUCGGAUGGUAAAGCACUUUAAGGGGGGAGGAAGGGCAGUAAGUGAAUAACUUGCUGGUUGGACGUUACCAACAGAAUAAGCACCGGCUAACUUCGUG
rnacentral:rRNA from 1 species